rnacentral:misc_RNA from 1 species
GAUGAAGAACGCAGCGAAACGCGAAAGGUAAUGCGAAUUGCAGAAUCAGUGAGUCAUCGAAUCUUUGAACGCACAUUGCGCCUCUCGGUACUCCGGGAGGCACGCCUGUUCGAGCGCCAUUACACACCCCAAGCGUGGCUUGAUGUUGGACGAUGUCUGUGACAGGACAGGUCUGGAACGCGUUGGCGCCGCCGGCGGACCACGAGCGUAGCAAGACGAAAGUCAUCGCUCUGUUGGACAUCCGACGGUUGGCUGUCUUGGAGGAUGUGUUGGGGUUCCCCGACAUGUCGUCUAACGAAUCACGAGUUUGGCCUCGGAUCAGGCGGGGAUACCCGCUGAACUUAAGCAUAUCAAUAAGCGGAGGA